AUUGAACGCUGGCGGCAUGCUUUACACAUGCAAGUCGAACGGCAGCACGAAAGAGCUUGCUCUUUUGGUGGCGAGUGGCGAACGGGUGAGUAAUGCAUCGGAACGUACCGAGUAAUGGGGGAUAACUGUCCGAAAGGAUAGCUAAUACCGCAUACGCUUUGAGAAGGAAAGUGGGGGCUCUUCGGACCUCACGUUAUUCGAGCGGCCGAUGUCUGAUUAGCUAGUUGGUGGGGUAAAGGCCUACCAAGGCGACGAUCAGUAGCGGGUCUGAGAGGAUGAUCAGCCACACUGGGACUGAGACACGGCCCAGACUCCUACGGGAGGCAGCAGUGGGGAAUUUUGGACAAUGGGCGCAAGCCUGAUCCAGCCAUGCCGCGUGUCUGAAGAAGGCCUUCGGGUUGUAAAGGACUUUUGUUAGGGAAGAAAAGGAUAGUGUUAAUACCAUUAUCUGCUGACGGUACCUAAAGAAUAAGCACCGGCUAACUACGUG
rnacentral:rRNA from 1 species